CCAGGUGUCCGAGAGCACGGCCAGCUCCUCUCAGCAUGGAGUGAUCGCUCAAUGAGGGCCCUGCAAAUCCAUUCCCAGUGACCCUUCCCCUCAGCUGCCAGUAAUGAAGGCCGCUUGCUCGUUACUCCCGGGUGAGGCUCAGGAGGAGACCCGGGCCUGGGACCCAAGCUCUUGCCUGGGGUCUAGUGGAUCAUCCAUUAAUUAAGGUUAGCGUUUCUGGCCCCCAGAAGCUCAAAGAUAAUCAGUGGUGGACCACAGACGAUGAUCGAUGCUUCCGUGUUGCCUGGAGCCUCUGCACCUGAUGCCAUUUGAAACUCCUGCAGGAAAUGCUGGGCAUCCUAUUUCAGGGGGUCCUUGGAGCCAAUGGCAAAUUCCUCUUGCUCGCUCAAAAGGCACACUUCCUGUUGUUUUGAGUGGUCUGUCCAAAGCCCAGAUUUGAAAAUGUUUAAAAGGAGAAUAAAAAACAUUUAGAAAUUCACAAGUAAAAUACUGUAGUGCUGAUAGAACUUAGUGUUGAUAGCAUAAUGUGGAAAUAGCAUGAUUCUCUGUUUACUGUGCGCGUUUGGUGACAAGCAGGCCUGAUGGGGGAUAUUGAUAGCACCUUCCUUCCCUUUCUGAAGCAGUCAGUUCCGAACAGCUGUUCAGGCCUGGUUCUGACUAAGCGAGUUGUUCCUUUUAGAUCCUGUUUUCAAGGCGAUCUCUGAUGGUAGAUGGAGCACACGUUUUUCUCCACUGGUCCAUGUGUCUGUACAGUCAUCAAUUGGCCUUUCGGAGAGUCCAGGUUGGAGGUCUUCAUAAGUUUGCCUCAUCAGCCUUUUUGAACCAGAUGCAAAGGACACACCCCAACUGGCUUGUAAGUGCAGUACAUCUAAUCACAUAAUGCUUCUAUAAUGUGGCUUUUUAAAUUAAGUGACCCACAGGAUAUUAAUCUGGUGGUAACAACUCCCAAGGGAUGCAGCACUGGCAAACACUUCAAGAGCAGCUAGUACUACUAUUAAAUGUGAUGUUCAUUUCAUCUGAACAUAUGGAAAUAAAAACAAGUCAUGGGAGAACUUCAGUGCUCUGUACAUGCUAUAUUGUUCAUAAACCUGUCAUAAAUAAGUGCCUCUUAAAAAGAAACCAAUUAAUAAAUGUGCAAUGAAUUACAAAGUUUAAAUAUUCCAUAAUAUGGGAUCUCUCCCCACCCCCUCCACCCACAUUCCCACCCCAGUCAGGGCCCCGUUGUUAUUCAAGCUCUUAUAACAUUUUCCACUGUGUGGCACAUCUCCGUUUUGUUGUUGUUGAUUGAGUUAUUUGCUUAGUUCGGCUGCUUAAAAAAAUGGAGAAAAAAUCUGUAAGCUAUAAAAUGCAUCUUCUUUUGUCCUUUGUCUGUACAUUAGAGUCUGGCUUGGCAUUGGGGCCCCACCCCAAACCUCCCACCAAGAGUAUGUCAUAUUUCUAUAUGCUUGUGCAUGUUCAGUUCUACCUCUUUUGAAAUGAUGCCCAAAACCAAGCAGUGUUUACAUAAGUAAAAGGGAGUUUCACUUUUAUGCUGUAAUUUCUACACGGAGCAAAGAGUUUUCCUAGCCAUACUUUGUACUUUGUUCAUGGGUGAACUUCUAUUUUUCUAAUGUGAUGGUUUUAUCCAGCUUUGACAACAGAUUUCUUUAGGAGAUUACACACCUGGAAUUAACUUCUUCUGCCAAGAAUUACAGUGCACCUGGAAGUACUAAAUCAUUUUUAUCUAUGUUUUAGAAGCUUUUUAUAAUAAAAUUGCAUAUCUUGAA